AGGAGAGGUGGCUGAGUGGUCGAAAGCGUCGGAUUGCUAAUCCGAUGUACAAGUAAUUGUACCGAGAGUUCGAAUCUCUUCCUCUCCUACC
rnacentral:tRNA from 1 species